rnacentral:rRNA from 1 species
UACGAAAGGAGCAGGUGUUAUUCAGAUUCACUGGGCGUAAAGGGUGCGUAGGUGGUUUGUUAUGUGUACUAUAAAAUUAUAAAGCAUAACUUUAUACUGUAGUGUAGACAACUAAACUAGAGUUAGGUAGAGGGUAGUAGAAUUUCUAGUGUAAAGGUGAAAUUCGUAGAUAUCGGGAGGAACACCAGUGGCGAAGGCGGCGAUCUGGGAAGAUACUGACGCUGAGGUGCGAAAGCGUGGGGAGCAAACAGG